GAAAAAUAUUCAUUGAUUGUAGUCAUAUUCGGUAGUAAACCCCAUUGGAGUUUCAUCCCAUGGGGUACCCACAAACACCCCAUUGAGGUCAGUCCUCAAAACACUCCCAUUGGUGCAUCCCCAAACACCCCAAUGCCCCCAAACACCCCCAUUGGGGUAACCCUAAACACCCCAUUAGGGUAUGUAGUCAUGGUCAUAAUAGUCAUGUAAUAAAUUAAUCAUAAUAAUAAUAAUAGUGGGUUUAUUAAUACACGUUCAAUAGCAAAAAGCUAAAUUACAAAGUGUUUACAUCGUCAGAUAUUAAUUAGAAUUAAUUAGAAUUAUUACUUAUUUAAAACUAUUUACAUCAAUGGACC